rnacentral:rRNA from 1 species
UACGGAGGGUGCAAGCGUUAUCCGGAUUUACUGGGUUUAAAGGGUGCGUAGGCGGGCCUUUAAGUCAGUGGUGAAAGCUCCGAGCUUAACUCGGAAACUGCCAUUGAUACUAUUGGUCUUGAAUUCGGUCGAGGUUGGCGGAAUGUGUCGUGUAGCGGUGAAAUGCUUAGAUAUGACACAGAACACCGAUUGCGAAGGCAGCUAGCUAGACCGACAUUGACGCUGAAGCACGAAAGCGUGGGGAUCAAACAGG